UGAGGAAUCUUGCGCAAUGGGGGAAACCCUGACGCAGCAACGCCGCGUGAGUGAGGAAGGUCUUCGGAUCGUAAAGCUCUGUCAGUUGGAAAGAAAUGUCUGAGAGUCAAUCCCUUUCAGGCUUGACGGUACCAACAGAGGAAGCACCGGCUAACUCCGUGCCAGCAGCCGCGGUAAUACGGGGGGUGCAAGCGUUGUUCGGAAUUAUUGGGCGUAAAGAGCGUGUAGGCGGCCGGAUAUGUCAGAUGUGAAAGCCCCGGGCUUAACCCGGGAAGUGCAUUUGAAACUGUCCGGCUCGAGUAGGGGAGAGGGAAGUGAAAUUCCUGGUGUAGAGGUGAAAUUCGUAGAUAUCAGGAGGAACACCGGUGGCGAAGGCGACUUCCUGGCCCUAUACUGACGCUGAGACGCGAGAGCGUGGGUAGCAACCA
rnacentral:rRNA from 1 species